UACGAAGGGGGCUAGCGUUGCUCGGAAUUACUGGGCGUAAAGGGCGCGUAGGCGGAUGUCUAAGUUGGGGGUGAAAUCCCGGGGCUCAACCUCGGAACAGCCUUCAAUACUGGAUAUCUUGAGUUCGGGAGAGGUGAGUGGAAUGCCGAGUGUAGAGGUGAAAUUCGUAGAUAUUCGGCGGAACACCAGUGGCGAAGGCGACUCACUGGCCCGAUACUGACGCUGAGACGCGAAAGCGUGGGGAGCAAACAGG
rnacentral:rRNA from 1 species